rnacentral:ncRNA from 1 species
CCUGCUCGUACACGUUCGUACCGUCAUCUUAUAACGACUUCCGUGUUGUAGCAUAGGUGGGAACUUCGGCGACCGGGAAAUGCCACUACCCUUAGUGUCCUGUUACUUAUUCCGUCAAGUUGAUGCGCAUGCUCUGCAUGUGUUUUUGUCUUAUGGCUGACUUCGGGCUACUGAACAACGCGGAAGAGACAAUCCGGUGGGGCGGCACAUCUGUGAAACAAUAGCGCCGAUCUCCUAAGGCCAGCUCAAUGAGAACAUAACUCUCAUGCUGACCGAAAGGAGAAAAGCUCGUUUUAUUUUGAUUUUCAGUACGAAUACAAACUGUGAAAGCAUUGCCAGUCGAUCCUGUAGGUCUGAGAACCUUUCGGCUAGGGGUGUCAGAAAAAGUUAUCGUAGGGAUAACUGGUUUGUUGCACCCAGUCCAUAGCGACAUUGCAUUUUGACCCUUCGAUAUCGGCUCUUCCUACCACAAAGUCGUAGUAGUCUCAAAGUGUCGGAUUGUUCCCCCGCCAAUAGGGAACGUGAGCUGGCUUGAGACCGUCGUGAGACAGGCUAGU